CCGUGCUAGGUGGGGAGCUAGCGGUUCCCUGUACCGGCAACCCGCUCUAGCCGGACUGAAUUCCUCUCCGAGGAUGUUUCAUGGCGAGUUAGUAGCUGGUAAGGGGCGUUGAGGGAGGGGACCCACGCAAUGGGGACCUGUGAACCGGGUCAGAUGGGGAACCAAGCAGCCCUAAACAGUGCUCUUCAUGUGCUGUGGGACUUCCUCUCCUGAGUUACCUGCCAGUGGCGGCUCGUCGUGGGGCCUUCGACGAGAGGUGCACGG
rnacentral:SRP_RNA from 1 species